GUGAGGAAUAUUGGUCAAUGGAGGCAACUCUGAACCAGCCAUGCCGCGUGCAGGAAGACGGUCCUAUGGAUUGUAAACUGCUUUUAUUUAGGAAUAAACCCCCGGUCGUGCACCGGGGCUGAAUGUACUAAAAGAAUAAGCACCGGCUAACUCCGUGCCAGCAGCCGCGGUAAUACGGAGGGUGCAAGCGUUAUCCGGAAUCAUUGGGUUUAAAGGGUCCGCAGGCGGGUAAAUAAGUCAGAGGUGAAAUCCGGCAGCUCAACUGUCGCACUGCCUUUGAUACUGUUUAUCUUGAAUUUUAGUGGAGUGGGCGGAAUAUGUCAUGUAGCGGUGAAAUGCUUAGAUAUGACGUGGAACACCGAUAGCGAAGGCAGCUCACUAACUAUGAAUUGACGCUCAUGGACGAAAGCGUGGGUAGCAAACAGGAUUAGAUACCCCAGUAGUCC
rnacentral:rRNA from 1 species